rnacentral:rRNA from 1 species
CCUGGCUCACGAUGAACGCUGGCGGCGCGCCUAACACAUGCAAGUCGAACGAGCGAGAGAGAGCUUGCUUUCUCAAGCGAGUGGCGAACGGGUGAGUAACGCGUGAGGAACCUGCCUCAAAGAGGGGGACAACAGUUGGAAACGACUGCUAAUACCGCAUAAGCCCACGGCUCGGCAUCGAGCAGAGGGAAAAGGAGCAAUCCGCUUUGAGAUGGCCUCGCGUCCGAUUAGCUAGUUGGUGAGGUAACGGCCCACCAAGGCGACGAUCGGUAGCCGGACUGAGAGGUUGAACGGCCACAUUGGGACUGAGACACGGCCCAGACUCCUACGGGAGGCAGCAGUGGGGAAUAUUGCACAAUGGGGGAAACCCUGAUGCAGCGACGCCGCGUGGAGGAAGAAGGUCUUCGGAUUGUAAACUCCUGUUGUUGAGGAAGAUAAUGACGGUACUCAACAAGGAAGUGACGGCUAACUACGUGCCAGCAGCCGCGGUAAAACGUAGGUCACAAGCGUUGUCCGGAAUUACUGGGUGUAAAGGGAGCGCAGGCGGGAAGACAAGUUGGAAGUGAAAUCCAUGGGCUCAACCCAUGAACUGCUUUCAAAACUGUUUUUCUUGAGUAGUGCAGAGGUAGGCGGAAUUCCCGGUGUAGCGGUGGAAUGCGUAGAUAUCGGGAGGAACACCAGUGGCGAAGGCGGCCUACUGGGCACCAACUGACGCUGAGGCUCGAAAGUGUGGGUAGCAAACAGGAUUAGAUACCCUGGUAGUCCACACUGUAAACGAUGAUUACUAGGUGUUGGAGGAUUGACCCCUUCAGUGCCGCAGUUAACACAAUAAGUAAUCCACCUGGGGAGUACGACCGCAAGGUUGAAACUCAAAGGAAUUGACGGGGGCCCGCACAAGCAGUGGAGUAUGUGGUUUAAUUCGACGCAACGCGAAGAACCUUACCAAGUCUUGACAUCCCUUGACGAUGCUGGAAACAGUAUUUCUCUUCGGAGCAAGGAGACAGGUGGUGCAUGGUUGUCGUCAGCUCGUGUCGUGAGAUGUUGGGUUAAGUCCCGCAACGAGCGCAACCCUUAUGGUCAGUUACUACGCAAGAGGACUCUGGCCAGACUGCCGUUGACAAAACGGAGGAAGGUGGGGAUGACGUCAAAUCAUCAUGCCCUUUAUGACUUGGGCUACACACGUACUACAAUGGCGUUAAACAAAGAGAAGCAAGACCGCGAGGUGGAGCAAAACUCAGAAACAACGUCCCAGUUCGGACUGCAGGCUGCAACUCGCCUGCACGAAGUCGGAAUUGCUAGUAAUCGCAGAUCAGCAUGCUGCGGUGAAUACGUUCCCGGGCCUUGUACACACCGCCC